GUAGUCUGCAACCCGACUACAUGAAGCUGGAAUCGCUAGUAAUCGCGAACCAGAAUGUCGCGGUGAAUACGUUCCCGGGUCUUGUACACACCGCCCGUCACACCAUGGGAGUCGGAAAUGCCCGAAGUCAGUGACCCAACCAUAAGGAGGGAGCUGCCGAAGGUGGAGCCGGUAACUGGGGUGAAGUCGUAACAAGGUAUC
rnacentral:rRNA from 1 species